GACGAACGCUGGCGGCGUGCUUAACACAUGCAAGUCGAGCGAGGCCCCUCCUUCGGGAGGGUGUCCUAGCGGCGAACGGGUGAGUAACACGUGGGCAACCUGCCCUCAGCUCUGGGAUAACUCCGGGAAACCGGGGCUAAUACCGGAUACGACCUCCACGGGCAUCUGCGGAGGUGGAAAGUUUUUCGGCUGAGGAUGGGCCCGCGGCCUAUCAGCUAGUUGGUGGGGUAGUGGCCCACCAAGGCGACGACGGGUAGACGGCCUGAGAGGGCGACCGGCCACACUGGGACUGAGACACGGCCCAGACUCCUACGGGAGGCAGCAGUGGGGAAUAUUGCGCAAUGGGCGAAAGCCUGACGCAGCGACGCCGCGUGAGGGACGAAGGCCUUCGGGUUGUAAACCUCUUUCAGCAGGGACGAAGCGAAAGUGACGGUACCUGCAGAAGAAGCACCGGCCAACUACGUG
rnacentral:rRNA from 1 species